rnacentral:misc_RNA from 1 species
AUUCUUGUUCUUGAUGAAGCAACAGCAGCCGUGGAUGUUAGAACAGAUGCUCUUAUUCAAAAGACAAUUCGAGAAGAAUUCAAAUCCUGCACAAUGCUCAUAAUAGCCCAUCGUCUGAAUACUAUUAUCGAUUGUGAUCGGGUUCUUCUCCUCAGUUCUGGCAAGGUCUUGGAGUUUGACACCCCAGAGGAACUUCUGUCAAACGAAAACAGUGCAUUCUCCAAAAUGGUUCAGAGUACUGGAGCAGCCAAUGCUCAAUAUCUCAAGAGCCUGGUCUUUG